UACGGAGGGGACUAGCGUUGUUCGGAUUCAUUGGGCGUAAAGGGUGCGUAGGCGGCGCGGUAAGUCGGGUGUGAAAUCUCGGGGCUUAACUCCGAAACUGCAUUCGAUACUGCCGUGCUUGAGGACUGGAGAGGAGACUGGAAUUUACGGUGUAGCGGUGAAAUGCGUAGAUAUCGUAAGGAAGACCAGUGGCGAAGGCGGGUCUCUGGACAGUUCCUGACGCUGAGGCACGAAGGCCAGGGGAGCAAACGGG
rnacentral:rRNA from 1 species